GGAAAAUUUAUCACUCUUGACUUUCACUAUCUCUAUAGUUGUUCUCUCCACUCUCUCUCAGAGUCUCAGUCUCGUCUCCCUUGCUUUCUCAACCCUUUUUAUAUCAAUUAUUUUGUUGUUUCAGCAUUUGUAAUUGAAAAUCUUCUCAAUUGAUUGGAUCUAGGCUUUGGUUUGAUGGGCUUCAAAACAGGGCUUCUUAAGAUUAGGGGUUUUGUAUUUUGAGUUCAAUUGAUUGUAUUUCUGCACUUAAACUUAAAUUAAUGGAUCUCUCUUUUUGAUUCCAGGAUUUUGGAGCUUGGUAUUCAGUGGAUUGGGGAUUUGCUUUGAGGUCUAGAGCUUUGGAGGUCUGGUGUGUGGAUCUCUCUUCUGUUCGAGUUUUUUAGGUUCAAACAUGCCCUGCACCCCGGAAGCAGCUGAUGUGUUAAGGAAGUGUAAUGUUCUAAUUGCUCCUUCAGUGGCUGCUGGUACAUGAGGGGUUGUUGCUGGGAAAUACGAACUUAAAGAGACCAAUGUAAAUUGGUCCCCUGAGGACUUUGAAUCUAAACUUCAGUGCAAAGGUGGAAAUUCAGGAGAGAAGGCAUUAUCACUUCUCACUGAGCAUGAUGGUAUAAUAUGAAAUGUUGCAGGAAUACCGCUACAUGGAGCUGUCAUCGAGCUAAAUGUGGGUGGAAAGGGGGUCUGAAGUUGCGCCGAUCUAGCUUACACAAUGAACUGUAGGCUCUGGCAGGUUUGAAGUCGAGUUAUAAAAAGAUGAGUGGGACUACUACAGUAAAGAAGAUAAGGAAGAUCACGGAGCAUGAAUUGAAUUUACAGCCUCUGUCUGAUCCGGAAGCUAUGAAACAGACAUAUCAGAGAGCUCUUAAAACAGCAACAGAUUUUACUUAUUAAUCCAGAUUGAUCAACAUAUCCAUUUAACUCGCCCUCUGUGAAUUGGGUUGUUUCGGGUAGGGUGCUCUAGAAGCAUUUGAUGCUCAACUUGAUUAUCUUUGUUAUUUUCUUAUUAUAUGGCCUGUCAUCUCAGCAAAUUCUUUUUCUUUUUAUUUUAAUUCUGAAGGUUUUGAUAGACAUGGGUCAAUCAAUAAGCAAAGAGGUCCAGUUUGUCUCCUUUCAUACAGUGUCCAAAGGCUAUUGGGGAGAAUGUGCCAAGCAGAUCUUGACACGGAAGCAAGACCGAACUUAUGCUUGUCGCAAUUCUACUCUCUUUUGUUUAAAAUUAACUCGGUUAACUCUAGUAAUUAACUCAUGUUUAUGAUGUAUUUAGUUUCAAGCACCAGUACUUGUUUUGGUGUGGUUGUUGGUUGGUAUAGCUAGGCUUGGACAUCUGUUUUGGUACUUAUUGGAAUUGUGUUUGUUGUUGGAUAUUGGUUGGUAAAUUUGAAAUGGGGAAGUGCUAUUUUCAAAUGUUA